rnacentral:rRNA from 1 species
CCUACGGGGGGCAGCAGUGAGGAAUAUUGGUCAAUGGACGAGAGUCUGAACCAGCCAAGUAGCGUGAAGGAUGACUGCCCUAUGGGUUGUAAACUUCUUUUAUAUGGGAAUAAAAUGUUCCACGUGUGGGAUUUUGUAUGUACCAUAUGAAUAAGGAUCGGCUAACUCCGUGCCAGCAGCCGCGGUAAUACGGAGGAUCCGAGCGUUAUCCGGAUUUAUUGGGUUUAAAGGGAGCGUAGGUGGAUUGUUAAGUCAGUUGUGAAAGUUUGCGGCUCAACCGUAAAAUUGCAGUUGAAACUGGCAGUCUUGAGUACAGUAGAGGUGGGCGGAAUUCGUGGUGUAGCGGUGAAAUGCUUAGAUAUCACGAAGAACUCCGAGUGCGAAGGCAGUUCACUGGACUGCAACUGACACUGAGGCUCGAAAGUGUGGGUAUCAAACAGGAUUAGAUACCCCAGUAGUC